UUUAACUUAUAGCCCAUAUUCGCAAACUUCAAGACCAAAAAUUGUUGCUCCUUCUCAUCUUCUUCUCCUCCUUAUUGUUGUAAAAUCAAAGUUCAAUCUCAUCUGACAACUCAUGUUCAUGUGCAAUGGAUGGACCUGCAACAUUGGCAUCGUUAUUAUUAUUCGGCCUUCCCAUCGAUUGAUUUUAGGAAAGAAAAUUCGUGACGUAUUAUAACGGAGGCAAUCGGGCGACUAAGGAAGAAAAUCCAAGAAGAUCUGCCACAAUUGAUUAUGUUAUAAGGUUGUUUUGAUGUGUGUUGAAGGCAUGCAGGAGGACUUUUUUAGAAGAGGAAAAUGGUGAGGGGAAAAUGUACAAAAUAUGAUGGAUGUUAGUAUUUGGAGGAGAGUGUUUGAAGGAUCAAAGGGUUAGGUAUUGUUACGUCUGUUUGUUUUUUUAAAAUAUGUGUUUGUUUUUUUAUAAUAUGUUUUUUUUGUUUGAGGCAUUUGUUAGUUUUAUUAUUUCUUUGACUUAUAACUUCAACAUCCAUAAUUAUUUGUGUGAUGAGGAGGUCACGAGUUUAAGCUGUGUAAAGAGCCCCUUGCAGAAAUGUUAGGUAAGGCUACGUACAAUAAACCCUUGUGAUUCGAUCCUUCUCUGAACUCUGUACAUAGCGAGAGCUUUAAUGCACCUGACUGCCGUUUUAUUGUAAUGGAGAACGCCAUGAACUAAAGACAACUUUUGUAGUGGUUAAAUAGAGUUUUGUUUUGUUGGUGUGAAUGAACCUUCUCUUUUUUCUGAUGAUUGUGGGGAGAAUCCAACCAAACAUACAGUAGUAUUACUUCCCAGAAAUUCAGAGAACCAAUAGCACAUGAAUGUUCAGUUGAAGAACCGUCUUUUUUCUUCCACUUUGGGGUGUAUUUUCUCCGAGAACAAAUGAGUUUCUUACUUGUUUUUUUUUUAGCAUUUGUUAAGAAAGAAUAUAUUUUCUCAAAAAUAUUUAUAUGUAAUCUAGCAAAACACUAUAAGGAUGAAAAGUGGGACCUCCAAAAUGAGAUGGUCCAGGUGGGGGUUAGGGGCAUUGGGAAUGUAAACUAUGAAUUAUGAAUGUAAAAUAUGACUUAUGAAACUCGUUUUCCCUACUUUCAUGAAGUCAUUUCCUCACUUUUAAGGAAUAUAUUUUUCCUAGAGAAUAUUUUCUGAAAAAAUUAUCUAACCAAACUUGAGAAAAUUAGAAAACAUUUUUUGAAAGAAUGUUUCCUUCCGCACCAAAGACAACCUAAAUAUUAGUUGGCGGAGUUGCAUAGAGCAGAGAUAGAUGCCAAGAAUUUUGCCAAGAACGUUCAAGAGUAUUUAAGUUUACACGUGUAUGAAAUGUAAUACUUAUAGUGAUCGUAUAAUUUUUUGGCCAAGAAUAUUCAUCUGUCUGCCAGCCAUACCUCAAACUCAAUCCAGACACUUGUACAAAUAAGAGGUAAAAGAUAUCAAGCGAAAUAAGUCAAAGUACAUGCAAAUUAACUUAAACAUCCCCACUAUAAAAAAUAUACUUAUCAAAACACAUGCAGCAUUGAGAGUAGCAGCAGUGUCCAAGGUCUCAAUAUUGUUCAGUUGAUCUUUUCCUUACUCUUGUUAACUACCAUGUUUUUGUUUCUUGAAAUUUAAAAUAAAGGGAAAAUAUGGUUGCCGUUGCAUUCGCGAUAAGAUACUUUAUCAAUAUUUUUGCCUUCAUCUUCCUGGCUUCUUCUAGAUAAUAAAAUACUCUCC